CCGGCCAAAGCUCUGUCUGUCUCUGGUGCGCGAGAAGCGGGCUCCGCAGCCCCCCAAGUCCGCCCGGAGCCGGGGAAGUUUGCAGCGGGGAGUGACUUCAGGAGGGCUAGAUACACACAUAAAUAGACAGGGGCUGGCGGAGAGGAGGCGGCGGCGGCAAGCAGCACCCAAAAGGGAGAGAGAGAGAGAGAGAGACACACACACACACACCCAAAAAGUUGCCGGGAGAAGUUUCCCUCCUGCGGAAUGCGGCUACUCUAAGUCCAAAGACAAUCCAUGGAUGUGAUCGGUCCCUUCACAAGUUGUGCAAACGAUUUGUUAGUUCAUGAGCCUAAUUAGUGCUGGGAUCACAUAAACAGCUUCCUCUGAAGCCUGGUAAAUGGCUUGAUGAUUGGUCGCUAUUACUCGCCUGGAGGUUGAAAGGGGGAGACUCUUUAAAGUGCGUCAGAGGGGAGGCGAGCUCUGGCAGCUGGGAUCCUGGAGGGAUGGAUUCAGGGCCCGGAACGGAGUGUGUCUCUCUCCACUCACUCCAGAGCGCUGGUGUCCCAGCCGGGCUCCUCACCUCUCCAGCCACUCAGCCGCAGAUCCGUCCUUCCCUCCAGCAACCCAGCCAGAUGCAGCUAAGGUGAUUACUGACAUAUCAUCCGCCUGUACAACCAAUUUUCCAGAGGGGAAUGACAGAACUGCAUCAAGAAUGAAAGAAGAAGUUGUAUAUACUGAAGGUUGUGUAAACCAGAAAUACCUACUCUGUUUGAGAUGUUGGAUAGAUGCAUAUGGUAGACAGUAAGUGCAGAGAAGGUAAGACCUGCCAGUAUAGGUUACUGAGCUGGAUGGAUUUUUAGUAGAAGU
rnacentral:lncRNA from 1 species